CUUUUGUGCUGCUUGGAGGGUCGAAGCGGCUCCAGGGAGACAAAGAGGAUGGCAAUAGGAGCACUCUGGAAAACUGAGAAUAACAAGCAACAUUGGAAAAGAAAGCAAAGCCAGCCAGAAACCAAACUAUUUUCCAUUUCCUUCAGAAAACCACAAAAUUCUUCUCCUUUCUCAACAGUUGAGAGACAAAGGAG